GUGGCUUCCGGAGCUAACGCGUUAAGUCGACCGCCUGGGGAGUACGGCCGCAAGGUUAAAACUCAAAUGAAUUGACGGGGGCCCGCACAAGCGGUGGAGCAUGUGGUUUAAUUCGAUGCAACGCGAAGAACCUUACCUACUCUUGACAUCCACGGAAUUCGGCAGAGAUGCCUUAGUGCCUUCGGGAACCGUGAGACAGGUGCUGCAUGGCUGUCGUCAGCUCGUGUUGUGAAAUGUUGGGUUAAGUCCCGCAACGAGCGCAACCCUUAUCCUUUGUUGCCAGCGAUUCGGUCGGGAACUCAAAGGAGACUGCCGGUGAUAAACCGGAGGAAGGUGGGGAUGACGUCAAGUCAUCAUGGCCCUUACGAGUAGGGCUACACACGUGCUACAAUGGCGCAUACAAAGAGAAGCGACCUCGCGAGAGCAAGCGGACCUCACAAAGUGCGUCGUAGUCCGGAUCGGAGUCUGCAACUCGACUCCGUGAAGUCGGAAUCGCUAGUAAUCGUGGAUCAGAAUGCCACGGUGAAUACGUUCCCGGGCCUUGUACACACCGCCCGUCACACCAUGGGAGUGGGUUGCAAAAGAAGUAGGUAGC
rnacentral:rRNA from 1 species